rnacentral:misc_RNA from 1 species
UCCCUGCUCUCCGUAAUGUGAAUUGCAGAAUUCAGUGAAUCAUCGAAUCUUUGAACGCACAUUGCGCCCGCCAGUAUUCUGGCGGGCAUGCCUGUUCGAGCGUCAUUACAACCCUCAGGCCCCCGGGCCUGGCGUUGGGGAUCGGCGGAAGCCCCCUGCGGGCACAACGCCGUCCCCCAAAUACAGUGGCGGUCCCGCCGCAGCUUCCAUUGCGUAGUAGCUAACACCUCGCAACUGGAGAGCGGCGCGGCCACGCCGUAAAACACCCAACUUCUGAAUGUUGACCUCGAAUCAGGUAGGAAUACCCGCUGAACUUAAGC